UACGGAGGUGGCAAGCGUUGCUCGGAAUCAUUGGGCGUAAAGGGCGCGUAGGCGGUGGGGUAAGUCUGGUGUGAAAUCUCGGAGCUCAACUUCGAAAUUGCACUGGAUACUGCUCUGCUAGAGGGCUGGAGAGGAGAUCGGAAUUCACGGUGUAGCAGUGAAAUGCGUAGAUAUCGUGAGGAAGACCAGUGGCGAAGGCGGAUCUCUGGACAGCUCCUGACGCUGAGGCGCGAAGGCUAGGGGAGCAAACGGG
rnacentral:rRNA from 1 species